UACGAAGGGGGCUAGCGUUGCUCGGAAUCACUGGGCGUAAAGGGUGCGUAGGCGGGUCUUUAAGUCAGGGGUGAAAUCCUGGAGCUCAACUCCAGAACUGCCUUUGAUACUGAAGAUCUUGAGUGCGGGAGAGGUGAGUGGAACUGCGAGUGUAGAGGUGAAAUUCGUAGAUAUUCGCAAGAACACCAGUGGCGAAGGCGGCUCACUGGCCCGAUACUGGACGCUGAGGCACGAAAGCGUGGGGAGCAAACAGGG
rnacentral:rRNA from 1 species